AGCAGCCGCGGUAAUUCCAGCUCCAAUAGCGUAUAUUAAAGUUGUUGCAGUUAAAAAGCUCGUAGUUGAAUUUCGGGAUCAAUAUGUUGGUCGUGCCUUGGUACGUACUGGCGUCAUUGGUUUCUACCUUCUGAAGAACCUCGAUGUCAUUAAUUUGGUGUCUUGGGGAAUCAGGACUGUUACUUUGAAAAAAUUAGAGUGUUUAAAGCAAGCUCACGCUUGAAUACAUUAGCAUGGAAUAAUGAAAUAGGACGUUUGAUUCUAUUUUGUUGGUUUCUAGGAUCGACGUAAUGAUUAAUAGGGAUAGUUGGGGCGAUUAGUAUUCAAUUGUCAGAGGUGAAAUUCUUGGAUUUAUUGAAGACUAACUACUGCGAAAGCAUUUGCCAAGGAUGUUUUCAUUAAUCAAGAACGAAAGUUAGGGGAUCGAAGACGAUCAGAUACCGUCGUAGUCUUAACCAUAAACUAUGCCGACUAGGGAUCGGAUGAUGUUAAUUUUUUAAUGACUCAUUCGGCGCCUUAC
rnacentral:misc_RNA from 1 species